UACGUAGGGCGCAAGCGUAUCCGGAAUUAUUGGGCGUAAAGAGCUCGUAGGCGGUCUGUCACGUCGGCUGUGAAAUCCCGAGGCUCAACCUCGGGUCUGCAGUCGAUACGGGCAAACUAGAGUAUUGCAGGGGAGACUGGAAUUCCUGGUGUAGCGGUGAAAUGCGCAGAUAUCGGGAGGAACACCGGUGGCGAAGGCGGUUCUCUGGGCCUGUACUGACGCUGAGGAGCGAAAGCGUGGGGAGCGAACAGG
rnacentral:rRNA from 1 species